GAGGAGGUUCCGGGGGAAGCGGGAGCUUCCGGAACGGCGGGGGAAGGAGAGAGCCGGCCUGCGCGAAAGGAUGAAGAAGGAGCAGGUGGCACACUGCCAGUUCUCUGUGUGGUACCCGCUGUUCCGCGCCGUCACCAUCCGCAGUGUUAUACUUCCUCUACCAGAGAAUGUGAAAGAAUAUUUGCUGGAUGAUGGAACACUUGUGGUUUCUGGAAGAGAAGAUCCACCAACUCAAACCCCAGAGGGAAGUGAUGAUGCAGAAGAAAUACAGUGGUCAGAUGAUGAGAAUACUGCAACACUUAAGGCACCAGAAUUCCCAGAGUUUACAGCUAAAGUUGAAGAAGCCAUAAGUUCCUUGGGUGGCAGCGUUUUUCCUAAGCUGAACUGGAGUGCUCCAAGGGAUGCUUACUGGAUAGCAAUGAAUAGCUCUCUGAAAUGCAAAGCUCUAAGUGACAUUUUCCUCCUCUUCAAAAGUUCAGACUUCAUUACUCGUGACCUCACUCAGCCAUUUAUUCACUGUACUGAUGAUUCCCCUGAUCCUUCCUUGAACUAUGAGCUUGUUCUUCGCAAAUGGUGUGAACUAAUUCCUGGUGCAGAAUUCAGAUGCUUUGUCAAGGAAAACAAGCUUAUAGGUAUAUCACAGAGGGACUACACUCAAUACUAUGACCAUAUCUCUAAGCAGCAUGAGGAGAUCUGUAGAUCAAUACAGGAGUUUUUCAAGAAACACAUACAGUAUAAAUUCUUGGAUGAAGACUUUGUUUUUGAUGUGUACCGAGACAGCAGGGGUAAGAUUUGGUUAAUAGAUUUUAAUCCAUUUGGAGAAGUAACAGACUCACUGCUGUUUACGUGGGAUGAACUGACCUCUGGGAGAAAUCUGAAAGGCGACCAGAGUGAAGUGGAAGCAACAGAACAGACACUUUUUGUAUUAUCCAUCAUCCCUUUCCAAAGGACUAUCCAGUUUUCCGCUGUACGAACAGUCAAGUUACUGUCCAGCCCAGUCCAUACCUGAGUUACCGACUGCCAAAAGACUUUGUGGACCUGUCUACAGGAGAGGAUGUUCACAAAUUAAUUGACUUUCUUAAACUGAAAAGAAAUCAGCAAGACGAUGACUGAGAUAUCAAGAAGUGUUAUGAUGAAUUGUGGAACAAUUCAAUCAAGAAAAAGUUAUGUUUAGGGCAACUACUAAGCUAAAGAAAAACUGUCUUCUAUAGUCAACAAAAGAACUGAAGAGCUGUUCAUCUUUGUAUGUCUGUUGGUUUAUAUAACAGUGUAGAAAGCUGCUUCAUGGAAACAUGGAGGAUCAGGGUGAGAUCUCCUUGGAUUUCAGCUUAAAGGCCAUGGUACAGUGAUGCAAGCAACAAUCUGAGCGCAACUGACUGCCUUCAUAUCACAUAAUGUGAAACUGGAUGCUAUUGAAAUAUGCCAUUGGACUCUUUGGUCGUAAAUGUGACAACAUUUAAUUCUUCUGCAGUUAAAACAUCAAGAAUUCUCUGAAUUUAGACACUGUCUUGCUUAAAAUGUAGAAUAGUUACAAGGAAAAAAGGUUUUUUUCUUCAUUGUGAAGGCUACUGCUUCCUUCAUUUCAUGGAACAGAUGUAACUACUAAAGCUUUCUUGAAACUUAUUUUUAACAUGAUUAUACACCAGGUAUCAGCUUUGGCUUUAAUAUAAAUAGUUAAACAUAAUAUGAACCUGUAAUUGUAUGUGGACUCAGUCUCAUUUCUUUUGGAUUACUUAAGAAAAUGAUAACUAUUUUUGCUCUUAAAUUCUGUACUUCCUUGAUACUACUUCAUGUUCUUUGUAUAGAAGGAAAUUUGACUAAACUGGGGAAGUGGAAGCUCUUGGUACUGAUUUUUUUUUUUUUUUUUUUUUUUUUCCUCCUUAGCAAAGGGGGUCAUUUUCAGACUAAGAAGCAGCUGCCUUCUGGACAUAGGUAUUUGCGUGGCGUCAGUAACGUGUUCAGUUUGCCCCAUUUUACUUGAUAUAAAAGAAAAUUUGGAGAUGCUCAGCCACUAGAAACUGGUUCCUAUGUUGGACCAGUUAUGUGAUGCUCUGUGUGUAUAUAAAGUUAUUCAUGUUUCUUGCCUUGCUUUUGCUGGCAAGUUGAUGUGGUGCUCAGUUACCAUCUGUUCUUAGAUGUUAAACCUGAGUUUAGAUGUUAAAUGAUUUCCUACUGUUACUAUUUAGCUUCAGUUUUGAGUGAACUUUGAUUAAAGAUUAUGUGGUCCAUUACUACCAAAUGUAAUUUAUUAAACAUCACAGAUUUACAUCUCCUGUAAUCUGUAGAGAAAUCUUCCUUACUCUUUCACUCUGAAGCAGUGGAAUCUCCUUCUCCAUAGCUUUUUGUACACAAAUUAGAUGGAUACUAACUCAGGGCUGGGCUAUACCAAAUUCAGUUGUACUAAAGACUUUUGAGUUUUUCUCACCCUUAUCAGAAGGGUGAAUAAAUGUUUCUAAAUCAAGUAGGAACUUCAGAACUUAAAAAAAGCUUUACUUUCUCUUCUGAAGUUACUCCUUCCUGGCCAUAACCUGAAGAUUGUGAUGAUCUGAUUAUCUCUAAACAAGAUAUCACCUUGCAGUUCCUCGUCAUAACUACGGAUUGUUGUCCUAAAAGAGAUUGAAUUUUGGUUUAAAGCAGUAAGAUGGCUUUCUGAAUCUUUUUUUUUUUUUUUUUGUUAUCAUCAUCACAGCUUUCAGUGCUGGAUACUUGGUGGAACAAAUACGGUGUCAGGACUUGCUUGAUGGGACCCUGUGUACUCUGAAGCAUCUCUUUAGCUGAGUAAACUGCAGCAACAGCCUUUUAACAAUCCUUUACUUCUUGAGUUUAUUUCUCUUGAAAGUGGCAUCCUCAAAUGAACUGAUUGUAAUGCAGAACUCUUAGACAUGCUGGCAUGACGCUUUUCUUCUGAGUGCUCUGUUUGUAGUUCAGUUCUUCUAGAACAAAUCCCAAUGGAACUGAAUGCUGGCCUAGGAUGUGUGUCCCUAAAUAGCUUUGUUUGUUUCCAGCCUGAGCAAAGUUUGUUUUUCUCCCCUGUGAUGCUAAGAGAUGACCAGUUUGAAUUAACAGAUUGCUCAACCAAGCUACCAAACGCUGAUAACUACCUUUAUUUUAAGUUGCAGGAACUUAAACUUCUUUUGGGCUUAAUGAAGAGCCAUAAAAGGAAGCAGAGCAGGAGGACUGCAGCUCAGGAAGAAGUGUCAGAGAAAAGUCUUCAUUAUUUCACAGCCAAUGGCUGUGGUAUUUGAUCUCUCAGAUGAAUAGUGGGAAUCAGGAUUCCAAUGACCCUGCAAGUAAUACUUAUUAGCGCGUAGUGGCUUAGUUCAGUACAGUUCUACUCAGUUGACUCCUCCAAUGCUGUCCUCAUCUUCCUGACUACCAACAUAAUAUUUUGAGUGAAAGUUAAGAUUAGAAUAAGCAGCACCAUGGAUAAUGCUGUUCUUAAUUUAAAAACUUCUCUCUCUCUGUCGACUUGUUUCCCCCUAAAAAGAGAUGUUCUGACUUAAUUUUCUGAGCGGUGCUCUAUUAUGUCUGAAAAGGAUCCUAAAAAUAGGAUAAUAAUUUUUCCUCAGCUCUGGGUUUCAGUAAAUGAAUUGCACUUGUUGGAAUCUGGUCACGCUGUAUGGCUUGUUAAUCCUUGUAAUUUCAUUUGAUGUUCCUAGCUAGAAAUUUCAUGCAUCUGAUUCUUAAACACUUGCACUUAGCUGAUGUCCAGGGUGCAGUGCUGGCCAGAGGAAAGGUGCCCAGUGAGACACAGUUCAGGUGCCCAUUUAAGCACCGCAGACAAACAGUCACAGUUGAAGGCUUUCAUGAGACUGUUGCCCAAUGAAAGGGUUCAAAAGCAGAUCAGUGGUAGUGUGGAGGUGGGUAACUGUGGUGCAAAGCUGCCCAAAAGCACUUCCUGAUACUUUUGUGUGGGCUUCAGUUAGUUUAGCUCUUACAAACUGUCCCGAUUCUGAAGUGUUGAAUAGUUAGAGAACAGAGGAUAACUGUCAGUGAACUGCGCAAAUCAUCUCGGCAGCUAGCAAAUAAUUUUAACCUCAGAGGGCUGAGUUGUGCUACUCAGUUUGUGUUUGGAUAAUGAAUCUGUCACUUGAGGAAAUUAUACCGUGUUAAAAUAUGUAUCUCUGUUUAAGAGAAGGUGAGUCUUUAAAGUACAAUCCAGGAAGAGACAAUAGGACAUUUGAUUCAUGUCAGAGAGUUGAUAAUGCUGAUAUUUGGAGGCUGUCUUGACAACAAAAGUUUACCUGAAGUUGAAUUUACAGUGUCUUUGAACUUGAUGACAUCUAUAAAGAUAAAGGCUGCUUAAACUUAUAGCCAUCCUAGAGUUUUAGGGAAUUAAAAUGAUUUCUUGCCAUAGCUGGCUUACUGUGUGCAGACUUGAAGCUUUCUCAAAGGUACAGAGCCCUUAAUCAACAAUAUAUAAUUACAGAUUUUUAUGAUAAUAAAGGGAUUAGCACUGUGCUAAUA